rnacentral:rRNA from 1 species
GAUGAACGCUGGCGGCGUGCCUAAUACAUGCAAGUCGAGCGAACAGACGAGGAGCUUGCUCCUCUGACGUUAGCGGCGGACGGGUGAGUAACACGUGGAUAACCUACCUAUAAGACUGGGAUAACUUCGGGAAACCGGAGCUAAUACCGGAUAACAUGUUGAACCGCAUGGUUUAACAGUGAAAGACGGUCUUGCUGUCACUUAUAGAUGGAUCCGCGCCGCAUUAGCUAGUUGGUAAGGUAACGGCUUACCAAGGCAACGAUGCGUAGCCGACCUGAGAGGGUGAUCGGCCACACUGGAACUGAGACACGGUCCAGACUCCUACGGGAGGCAGCAGUAGGGAAUCUUCCGCAAUGGGCGAAAGCCUGACGGAGCAACGCCGCGUGAGUGAAGAAGGUCUUCGGAUCGUAAACUCUGUUAUUAGGGAAGAACAAAUGUGUAAGUAACUAUGCACGUCUUGACGGUACCUAAUCAGAAAGCCACGGCUAACUACGUG